rnacentral:lncRNA from 1 species
CAGGACAAUCUCCAGCAUGGCCAGCUUCCCUCUCCUCCUCACCCUCCUCACUCACUGUGCAGGGUCCUGGGCCCAGUCUGUGCUGACUCAGCCACCCUCAGCGUCUGGGACCCCCGGGCAGAGGGUCACCAUCUCUUGUUCUGGAAGCAGCUCCAACAUCGGAAGUAAUACUGUAAACUGGUACCAGCAGCUCCCAGGAACGGCCCCCAAACUCCUCAUCUAUAGUAAUAAUCAGCGGCCCUCAGGGGUCCCUGACCGAUUCUCUGGCUCCAAGUCUGGCACCUCAGCCUCCCUGGCCAUCAGUGGGCUCCAGUCUGAGGAUGAGGCUGAUUAUUACUGUGCAGCAUGGGAUGACAGCCUGAAUGCACAAGUUUCUGGGGAGGAGGGUCUGAAGCCCGGGUCAGCCCAAGGCUGCCCCCUCGGUCACUCUGUUCCCACCCUCCUCUGAGGAGCUUCAAGCCAACAAGGCCACACUGGUGUGUCUCGUAAGUGACUUCAACCCGGGAGCCGUGACAGUGGCCUGGAAGGCAGAUGGCAGCCCCGUCAAGGUGGGAGUGGAGACCACCAAACCCUCCAAACAAAGCAACAACAAGUAUGCGGCCAGCAGCUACCUGAGCCUGACGCCCGAGCAGUGGAAGUCCCACAGAAGCUACAGCUGCCGGGUCACGCAUGAAGGGAGCACCGUGGAGAAGACAGUGGCCCCUGCAGAAUGCUCUUAGGCCCCCGACCCUCACCCCACCCACAGGGGCCUGGAGCUGCAGGUUCCCAGGGGAGGGGUCUCUGCCCCCAUCCCAAGUCAUCCAGCCCUUCUCAAUAAAUAUCCUCAUCGUCAACGAG